rnacentral:tRNA from 1 species
AGGGGUAUAGUUCAGUUGGUAGAACGUUGGUCUCCAAAACCAAAUGCCGUGGGUUCAAGUCCUGCUACCCCUG